UAGAUACCCUGGUAGUCCACGCCCUAAACGAUGCGAACUGGACGUUGGGAGCAAUCAGGCUCUCAGUGUCGAAGCUAACGCGUUAAGUUCGCCGCCUGGGGAGUACGGUCGCAAGACUGAAACUCAAAGGAAUUGACGGGGGCCCGCACAAGCGGUGGAGUAUGUGGUUUAAUUCGAUGCAACGCGAAGAACCUUACCUGGCCUUGACAUCCACGGAAUCCUUUAGAGAUAGAGGAGUGCCUUCGGGAAC
rnacentral:rRNA from 1 species